AGGAGGGAAGGGAGUGUCUAGCAAAGAGCCAUGAGGUCAUCGGAGCACCAGGCUUUCCUCACUGACCACUGGCCACAAUUGUCUUCCUGCUUGGAUUCCCAGGGGCUUUACCUCGGCUCCCACAGAUGCUUUGGGUACACACAUUUUCUUCCAUCUCAAACUAUGACCUGACGGCCAGAUAGGCAAUGUAUUAUUUGUCAAGAGAUUUGAGAUUAAUCUGGAAACUGCAACUUGUUCCCAGCUUUGCUGACGGCUCUGAUGUAUUGGACUUUAUCUGCGAUGCCCUUCCUGCUGCACAAGCCCCCAACUAGGCAUGAAUAUGUGGGCAGUCCUCUGCCUUACCCCAGCCCUCGCUGCCUCUCUGUGACUUCUUACCAGGAUUUGGGGUUCCUCCCCACCUCUCUACCCCCACCCCAGGUCACUGAAUCAGUCAGUGUUACUGGUGAGACUGCUGUGAGUGUGACACCUGCAGAGACUCUGCUGCCCAGGGGAUGCAGUCAGCAGGCCAUCUGAGAACUGUCUCAGCACGUCUUUGAUGUAGUUCCAUUGUGUCUGCAGCCUCAUAUGAAUAAGCACAAAGUCUCCCAUCUCUACAGGUGACCUACAACAACCAAUACGGUUCAAGCUUCCUGACCCACCGAUCCUUUUUCUUGGCUGCAUGGAGGUUUUGGACAAUCCACACAUCGUAUGGUUUCCAAGCAGAGAUUUUAAGCAUCAGGUGCACUGGGCGGAGCCUCUACAGGUGAACUGCUGUAUCACUCAAGAGUGAGCCAAGGUCAGCAAAGGUGAAAGCUGCCCCGACCUCCUGCUAUGAAAAGCCUCCUUGGAGCCAGCUGAAGACAUAGGAGGACCAGUGUCCGACAGUGACACCUGGAGGCAUUAAGCAGUCACAGCAGAGUGACAAGAAGAGCCACUGAUCCAGUCCAAACCUAGACCUUGCCUUCCAUCUUCUCUGGCAGCUGCCUGCACUGGCCCUCCUGGGACACUGACUCACUUGGGACAAUAGGGUUUCAGUUUAGCUCAGUCUCCACUACUGGAGUUGCAUUGUCUGUCCAUUUGUCCAAAUUCGGUCAUCCAUCUCGCCUCCAUAAUCCUGAGCUUCUGCAGUUAGGCUGGACCAUCGUGACCCUGUGGCUUGGCUCUCUGCCUUUAGCACAAUGUUCAGACUGUGUUUGUUGGUAUCUGUCUACCACCUGCUGUAAUCUGCAUCGGCACCAGCUCUCUGCACCUGCCUCCAGCAAGCCCCUGACUCUGCCGCCCCUUUAACACUUCGUAGCUAUUCUGUAUCCCAUGCACGCAAUAGAUGUCCAAUUACAUGGUGGUGUGCAGUGUGUGAUCUGAGAGUUAGUAUUAAAUAAUUAAGAUCAAAAUAAAAGAACUUGUGCUUGCUAGUUGUCUGCUACCAAGGAAAAUCUAGACUUUUGAACUUACUGUUACGCAAUCAACUCUGACCUUGUUCAAAGAUCGGGUAGAAUGUCUUGUUUCUGGCGGCAAAACAAAACACCCAGCGGAAGAUGAAAGUAGGGCUGUUGGAGACUUGCGAUCAGAGAGCUGUUUUCCUAAUAAACUUUGGCACCAUCUGCUUUUCUUUUGUUAAAUCAUGCACCUGCGCUUUUGUUUUUUAAAAAGUUGGAUUACUUAGGUAGAAUGGUUUGCAGCUUCAGGCAGGACAGUCGCAAAUGCACGACAGAACGGUCUUGUAACUGUCUUUUAAAAACUCAAUGGGGAAAGACUUUUAAACCAUUGACGCCCUGGCAAAGGACAAGAGCCCAAUGGGAGAAGUCUGCUCGCUGAGGUUGUGGCAGCAGGGUGCGGUGCGCACGCGCGGGUCCUGCGUUUCCUUCCUUCCCGGAAAUGCCCCUCGGUGGAGCAAAUGGCCCCAACUGGGGCUGUUAUCCUGGUUCAGUUCUGCUCUGUGCGGUCCCGCUGCCAGGGGACACUGCUUGCGCGAGGGCCGUCGAGGGUGAGCCUUGUAGACCCCGGGGAAUACGAAGAAGAAACGCCCCGGCCUCCUCCUCCCACACUGGCAGCCGCCGGCAGGGUUCCCGAACGACCUACCCUGCUCGAAAGCAGCAGUUUCAAAUGCCCAGUGCCAUGUUCGGCUGCCAGAUUUAGGCAAAGAAAAGGCAGAUUAAACGUUCUUCGGCACUGGGCAUUGAAACCAGAGCCAUAGCGUGUUUUAGGCACGUGCUUUGCCUCUGGGCUCCCCCUCGUUUAAUUUAAAAAAAAAAAAAUCCCUUUCACCUUGGAGACUGGAUUUUGCAAAAUUACCCAGGCUAGCCUGGAGCUUGGAGAUCUUGCCACCCUCCUGUCUUGGCCUGGAAUAACUGAGAUUACAGGCCAGUGCCACCAGUCCCUUGCUCAUAUUAGGCGUUCUCUGUGUCAUUUGCUCUAGCACCGGUCUUGAACUUGUCAGAGACAGUCUCUCACUAAUUAAAAGAGUUCUUGAACACUACAGUGUACCUGGUUUCUUUUUGUUUGUUUGUUUGUUUGUUUGUUUGUUUGAAGCAG